UUGGAUAGUAGAGCUGGAUUGUGAUGCAUGUAUGACAAGUGGGCUACAACCAGUCUUAGGAGCAAGAUAGGACUGACAAUCGCUAUCUAGAUCCCGAUCCCCUGUCUCUUCUCCUUCUCGUGGAAGAUCUGCAAGCAGAAGCCCCAGGAGCAGAAGCGCAUCCCGUUCCCGUUCUCCUGUAAUGGCAAACUUCCUGAGCAAUCGCUUAUUGUGUCGCUAGGAA